GCUUGCUACCUGACCUAGCGGCGGACGGGUGAGUAAUGCUUAGGAAUCUGCCUAUUAGUGGGGGACAACAUUCCGAAAGGAAUGCUAAUACCGCAUACGCCCUACGGGGGAAAGCAGGGGAUCUUCGGACCUUGCGCUAAUAGAUGAGCCUAAGUCAGAUUAGCUAGUUGGUGGGGUAAAGGCCUACCAAGGCGACGAUCUGUAGCGGGUCUGAGAGGAUGAUCCGCCACACUGGGACUGAGACACGGCCCAGACUCCUACGGGAGGCAGCAGUGGGGAAUAUUGGACAAUGGGCGAAAGCCUGAUCCAGCCAUGCCGCGUGUGUGAAGAAGGCCUUUUGGUUGUAAAGCACUUUAAGCGAGGAGGAGGCUACUUGGAUUAAUACUCUAGGAUAGUGGACGUUACUCGCAGAAUAAGCACCGGCUAACUCUGUGCCAGCAGCCGCGGUAAUACAGAGGGUGCGAGCGUUAAUCGGAUUUACUGGGCGUAAAGCGUGCGUAGGCGGCUUUUUAAGUCGGAUGUGAAAUCCCUGAGCUUAACUUAGGAAUUGCAUUCGAUACUGGGAAGCUAGAGUAUGGGAGAGGAUGGUAGAAUUCCAAGUGUAGCGGUGAAGUGCGUAGAGAUCUGGAGGAAUACCGAUGGCGAAGGCAGCCAUCUGGCCUAAUACUGACGCUGAGGUACGAAAGCAUGGGGAGCAAACAGGAUUAGAUACCCUGGUAGUCCAUGCCGUAAACGAUGUCUACUAGCCGUUGGGGCCUUUGAGGCUUUAGUGGCGCAGCUAACGCGAUAAGUAGACCGCCUGGGGAGUACGGUCGCAAGACUAAAACUCAAAUGAAUUGACGGGGGCCCGCACAAGCGGUGGAGCAUGUGGUUUAAUUCGAUGCAACGCGAAGAACCUUACCUGGUCUUGACAUAGUAAGAACUUUCCAGAGAUGGAUUGGUGCCUUCGGGAACUUACAUACAGGUGCUGCAUGGCUGUCGUCAGCUCGUGUCGUGAGAUGUUGGGUUAAGUCCCGCAACGAGCGCAACCCUUUUCCUUAUUUGCCAGCGGGUUAAGCCGGGAACUUUAAGGAUACUGCCAGUGACAAACUGGAGGAAGGCGGGGACGACGUCAAGUCAUCAUGGCCCUUACGACCAGGGCUACACACGUGCUACAAUGGUCGGUACAAAGGGUUGCUACCUAGCGAUAGGAUGCUAAUCUCAAAAAGCCGAUCGUAGUCCGGAUUGGAGUCUGCAACUCGACUCCAUGAAGUCG
rnacentral:rRNA from 1 species